AGCGCACAGUGCCAUCCUCUCUAACCUAUCAGUGUGGGAAGUAAGCGUGCCACCUAUGAAGUCAGCAGUCCCCAACCCCCACCCUAAACACAUGUUCAACAUCCUCUAGGCACAGGCUGAGCAGAGCACUGAGACACAGCUGAGAAUUAGAGAGGGAGAGAGAGAGAGAGAGAGAGAGCAGUGAAGUGGAAAUAUGGGUGAGCGUCAGAGAAAGACAGAAAUAGAGCGAUAAAGCAGUGAAUUAGGCAGGCAGGGAGAGGAGGAGGAGAAAUAGAGGCAGUCUUUCGCUGGGGCUGUGAUGCUUUGCGCGGAUGAGGUUAUAUUCUCAUAGCAGAAAGGUAUCGUCGUGUGGGUGGAUGUGAGAACCCUCAUGGAUUUGCUCCCUUCUGAGUCUCAGUGGAAUUCAUCGCAUCUGGAUCCAAAACAGCUGUAGACAGAGGAUGCGACCGUGGCUGGGAUCUAGGAUCCAUGUGGGCCUGUGACGUAUGCGCUCCCCUCCGUGGCUAUCUUCCUCCCCAUAAGGAUGGCUCCGGCAGCACUGACCCAGAUUGUGGAGCGGCGGCUCUUCGCUGUGGGCUGCUCCUUGGUUUGUCUGUGAAUGUGAAUGUGGACGAGACAUGCUCUACACCUCGGCAGAGACUUCUGAGCCCACUUCCUCUGCUGACAUCUGUCUCCGUGGAUACACACAGCAACCGACAGGCUACGCCACAGUGACUGAUCCAUAAUAAUAAUCCCCAGCUGGAGAACAAACAACAUCUGGACGCAGAGAGAAAGGAGAGGGUGAAGUCUCAGCAGGGCGGGCGGCAGAUGGUGACACUGCAGCAGCACUUCUCCAGCAUGGAGGAGACAGUGCGAUCGCUACUACAGAACCAGGAUUCACUGGACAGCCCCAAGGUGGACCCAUUGGAUCUUAUGAAAGCAUACAAGGUACAAGAAGGACCUCCAGCCAUCCCCAGAUAUGUUCAAGUUCUUUGGUAUCAUUUUUGUCCUUUAACUCUGCUGUGAUGGUUAUGUUGUUUUUGCCCUCAUCAUUUUGAAUUUGAAUCACAUGAAAUCAAGUCAAAUCUUAACAGAAAUUAUCUCAGGGCAAUCUUCAUACUGAGCAGGUUUAG